rnacentral:rRNA from 1 species
UACGAAGGGGGGCUAGCGUUGCUCGGAAUCACUGGGCGUAAAGGGUGCGUAGGCGGGUUUUUAAGUCAGGGGUGAAAUCCUGGAGCUCAACUCCAGAACUGCCUUUGAUACUGAAGAUCUUGAGUCCGGGAGAGGUGAGUGGAACUGCGAGUGUAGAGGUGAAAUUCGUAGAUAUUCGCAAGAACACCAGUGGCGAAGGCGGCUCACUGGCCCGAUACUGACGCUGAGGCACGAAAGCGUGGGGAGCAAACAGG